rnacentral:ncRNA from 2 species
CAGCGUUCUCAGGGCGGGGUGAAAGUCCCCACCGGCGGUAAUGGCGGUUGUCGCGCGUCUCGCGCUAGCCCGCAUUAGCCCGCGAGCGCCCGGCCUGCCCACAGGCCGGGGUCAGCAGAUUCGGUGCGAUUCCGAAGCCGACGGUCAUAGUCCGGAUGGAAGAGAGCGCGA